rnacentral:rRNA from 1 species
CCUACGGGGUGCAGCAGUGGGGAAUUUUCCGCAAUGGGCGAAAGCCUGACGGAGCAAUGCCGCGUGGAGAUAGAAGGCCCACGGGUCGUGAACUUCUUUUCCCGGAGAAGAAGCAAUGACGGUAUCUGGGGAAUACGCAUCGGCUAACUCUGUGCCAGCAGCCGCGGUAAUACAGAGGAUGCAAGCGUUAUCCGGAAUGAUUGGGCGUAAAGCGUCUGUAGGUGGCUUUUUAAGUCCGCCGUCAAAUCCCAGGGCUCAACCCUGGACAGGCGGUGGAAACUACCAAGCUGGAGUACGGUAGGGGCAGAGGGAAUUUCCGGUGGAGCGGUGAGAUGCGUAGAGAUCGGAAGGAACACCAACGGCGAAAGCACUCUGCUGGGCCGACAAUGACACUGAGAGACGAAAGCUAGGGGAGCGAAUGGGAUUAGAUACCCCAGUAGUC